rnacentral:rRNA from 1 species
GACGUAGGGCGCGAGCGUUGUCCGGAUUUAUUGGGCGUAAAGAGCUCGUAGGCGGCUUGUCGCGUCGACCGUGAAAACUCGCAGCUCAACUGCGAGCCUGCGGUCGAUACGGGCAGGCUAGAGUUCGGUAGGGGAGACUGGAAUUCCUGGUGUAGCGGUGAAAUGCGCAGAUAUCAGGAGGAACACCGAUGGCGAAGGCAGGUCUCUGGGCCGAUACUGACGCUGAGGAGCGAAAGCGUGGGAGCGAACAGG